rnacentral:rRNA from 1 species
CAGCAGCCGCGGUAAUACCAGCCCCGCGAGUGGUCGGGACGGUUAUUGGGCCUAAAGCGCCCGUAGCCGGCCUAGCAAGUCUCCGCAGAAAUCCCCGGGCCCAACCCGGGGGCGUGCGGAGAUACUGCUAGGCUAGGGGGCGGGAGAGGCCGGGGGUACUCCCGGGGUAGGGGCGAAAUCCUAUAAUCCCGGGAGGACCACCAGUGGCGAAGGCGCCCGGCUGGAACGCGCCCGACGGUGAGGGGCGAAAGCCGGGGGAGCGAACCGGAUUAGAUACCCGGGUAGUCCCGGCUGUAAACGAUGCGGGCUAGGUGUCGGACGGGCUUAGAGCCCGUCCGGUGCCGCAGGGAAGCCGUUAAGCCCGCCGCCUGGGGAGUACGGCCGCAAGGCUGAAACUUAAAGGAAUUGGCGGG